CAAGACUAAUCAAAGCUGAUAAGCACAUACCCAAUACUAAUCAAAGCUGAUAAGCACAUACCCAAGACUAAUCAAAGCUGAUAAGCACAUACCCAAUACUAAUCAAAGCUGAUAAGCACAUACCCAAGACUAAUCAAAGCUGAUAAGCACAUACCCAAGACUAAUCAAAGCUGAUAAGCACAUACCCAAGACUAAUCAAAGCUGAUAAGCACAUACCCAAGACUAAUCAAAGCUGAUAAGCACAUACCCAAGACUAAUCAAAGCUGAUAAGCACAUACCCAAUACUAAUCAAAGCUGAUAAGCACAUACCCAAGACUAAUCAAAGCUGAUAAGCACAUACCCAAGACUAAUCAAAGCUGAUAAGCACAUACCCAAGACUAAUCAAAGCUGAUAAGCACAUACCCAAGACUAAUCAAAGCUGAUAAGCACAUACCCAAGACUAAUCAAAGCAGUAAUCACCACCAAAGAUCCUUCUACAUCAUGGAUUUUUAUGUUAUUUUAUUUAACAUUUAUUUAACUAGGCAAGUCAGUUUAAGAAUGACGGCCUCCUGCAAGGGGUUAAUAAUAAAAUGAAAUAAAUAAUAAAUAGUAAUAAUAACAAAAAUAAAUACAAAUAUAUAAAUAUAGGACAAUACACAUCACGACAAGAGAGACAACAAUACAUAAAGAGAGACUUAAGACAACAACAUAGCAUGGUAGCAACACAAAAUGACAACACAGCAUGGUAGCAACACAAAAUGACAACAUAGCAUGGCAGCAACACAAAAUGACAACACAGCAUGGUAGCAACACAAAAUGACAACACAGCAUGGUAGCAACACAAAAUGACAACACAGCAUGGCAGCAACACAAAAUGACAACACAGCAUGGUAGCAACACAAAAUGACAACACAGCAUGGUAGCAACACAAAAUGACAACACAGCAUGGUAGCAACACAAAAUGACAACACAGCAUGGUAGCAACACAAAAUGACAACACAGCAUGGUAGCAACACAACAUGACAACACAGCAUGAUAGCAACACAACAUGGUAGCAGCACAAAACAUGGUACAAACAUUAUUGGGCACAGACAACAGCACAAAGGGCAAGAAGGUAGAGACAACAAUACAUCUCACAAAGCAGCCACAACUGUCGGUAAGAGUGUCCAUGAUUUAGUCUUUGAAUGAAGAGAUUAUGAUAAAACUGUCCAGUUUGAGUGUUUGGUGCAGCUCGUGAGGCCUAAGAGGAUUUUAUAAAUAAACAUCAACCAGUGGGUCUUGCGACAGGCAUACAGAGAUGACCAGUUUACAGAGGAGUAUAGAGUACAGUGAUGUGUCCUAUAAGGAACAUUGGAGGCAAAUCUGAAGGCCGAAUGGUAAAGAACAUCUCGCCGCUCGAGAGCACCCUUACCUGCUGAUCUAUAAAUUAUGUCUCCAUAAUCUAGCAUGCGUAGGAUGGUCAUCUGAAUCAGGGUUAGUUUGGCAGCUGGGCUGAAAGAGGAGCGAUUAUGAUAGAGGAAUCCACAUCUAGAUUUAACUUUAGCCUGCAGCUUUGAUAUGUGCUGAGAGAAGGACAGUGUACCGUCUAGCCAUACUCCCAAUUACUUUUAUGAGGUGACUACCUCCAGCUCUAAACCCUCAGAGGUAGUAAUCACACCAGUGGGGAGAGGGGCAUUCUUCUUACCAAACCACAUUACCUUUGUUUUGGAGGUGUUCAGAAGAAGGUUAAGGGCAGAGAAAGCUUGUUGGACACUAAGAAAGCUUUGUUGUAGAGCAUUUAGCACAAAUUCUGGGGAGCGGCCAGCUGAGUAUAAGACUGUAUCAUAUGCAUAUAAAUGCAUGCGAGAGCUCCCUACUGCCUGAGCUAUGUUGUUGAUGUAAAUUGAGAACAGCAUGGGGCCUAGGAUCAAGCCUUGGGGUACUCCCUUGGUGACAGGCAGUGACUGAGACAGCAGAUUGUCUGACUUUAUACACUGCACUCUUUGAGAGAGGUAGUUAGCAAACCAGGCCAAAGACCCCUCAGAGACACCAAUACUGCUUAGCUGGCCCACAAUAAUGGAAUGGUCUACCAUAUCAAAAGCUUUAGCCAAGUCAAUAAAAAUAGCAGCACAACAUUGCUUAGAAUCAAGGGCAAUGAUGACAUAAUUGAGGACCUUUAAGGUUGCACUGACACAUCCAUAACCUGAGCGGAAACCAGAUUGCAUACCAGAGAGAAUACUAUAGACAUCAAGAAAGCCAGUCAGUUGAUUAUUGACAGGUUUUUCAAACACUUUUCAUAAACCAGGGCAAAGUAGAAAUAGCCUAUAACAGUUUGGAUCAGGUUGAUCUACCCCUUUUAAAUAAAGGAUGAACCGUGGCUGCAUUCCAAGCAAUGGGCACCUCCCCUGAGAGGGUUAAAGGUUAGAGAAAGGCAUGGCGAUGAUAGGUGCAGCAACCUUAAAGAAGAAAGGGUCUAAACCAUCUGACCCAGAUGGUUUUUUUGGGGGCCAAGUUUCAGGAGCUCCUUUUGCACCUCAGACUCAGUGACCGCCUGCUUUGUAGCGGGGCAGGGCUAAAAAGUGGGAGGAGCAUCAGGGAUAGUCCUAUUACAAGGGGUGGGAGAUGAGGAAAUGUUGGACGGGCAAGGAGGCAUGGCUGAGUCAAAUAGGAAUCCUGACUUAUUAAAGAGCUCAGCCAUGUGCUUAUUGUCAAUAACAACUGCAUCAUCAACAUUAAGGGACAUGGGCAGCUGUGAGGAAGAGGGUUUAUUCUCCAGGUCUUUAACCUUUUUCAAAUCAAAUCAAAUGUAUUUAUAUAGCCCUUCGUACGUCAGCUGAUAUCUCAAAGUGCUGUACAGAAACCCAGCCUAAAACCCCAAACAGCAAGCAAUGCAGGUGUAGAUACACGGUGGCUAGGAAGAACUCCCUAGAAAGGCCAAAACCUAGGAAGAAACCUAGAGGAACCAGGCUAUGUGGGGUGGCCAGUCCUCUUCUGGCUGUGCCGGGUGGAGAUUAUUAGAGAACAUGGCCAAGAUGUUCAAAUGUUCAUAAAUGACCAGCAUGGUCAAAUAAUAAUAAUCACAGUAGUUUUCGAGGGUGCAGCAAGUCAGCACCUCAGGAGUAAAUGUCAGUUGACUUUUCAUAGCCGAUCAUUAAGAGUAUCUCUACCUCUCCUGCUGUCUCUAGAGAGUUGAAAACAGCAGUUCUGGGACAGGUAGCAAGUCCGGUGAACAGGUCAAGAUUCCAUAGCCGCAGGCGAAACAGUUGAAACUGGAGCAGCAGCACGGCCAGGUGGCCUGGGGACAGCAAGGAGUCAUCAUGCCAGGUAGUCCUGAGGCAUGGUCCUAGGGCUCAGGUCCUCCGAGAGAGAGAAAGAAAGAGAGAAAGAGAGAAUUAGAGAGAGCAUACUUAAAUUCACACAGGACACAGGAUAAGACAGGAGAAGUACUCCAGAUAUAACAAACUGACCCUAGUCCCCCGACACAUACUGGAGGCUGAGACAAGAGGGGUCAGGAGACACUGUGGCUCCAUCCGAUGAUACCCCCGGACAGGGCCAAACAGGAAGGAUAUAACCCCACCCACUUUGCCAAAGCACAGCCCCCACACCACUAGAGGGAUUUCUUCAACCACCAACUUACCAUCCUGAGACAAGGCCAAGUAUAGCCCACAAAGAUCUCCGCCACGGCACAACCCAAGGGGGGGGCUCCAACCCAGACAGGAAGAUCACGUCAGUAACUCAAUCCUCUCAAGUGACGCACCCUUCCUAGGGACGGCAUGAAAGAGUAAGCCAGUGACUCAGCCCCUGUAAUAGGGUUAGAGGUAGAUAAUCCCAGUGGAGAGAGGGGAACCAGUCAGGCAGAGACAGCAAGGGCGGUUCGUUGCUCCAGAGACUUUCCGUUCACCUUCACACUCCUGGGCCAGACUACACUCAAUCAUAUGACCCACUGAAGAGAUGAGUCUUCAGUAAAGACUUAAAGGUUGAGACCGAGUCUGCGUCUUUCACAUGGGUAGGCAGACCAUUCCAUAAAAUGGAGCUCAAUAGGAGAAAGCCCUGCCUCCAGCUGUUUGCUUAGAAAUUCUAGGGACAAUUAGGAGGCCUGCGUCUUGUGACCGUGGCGUACGUGUAGGUAUGUAAGGCAGGACCAAAUCAGAAAGAUAGGUAGGAGCAAGCCCAUGUAAUGCUUUGUAGGUUAGCAAUUAAACCUUGAAAUCAGCCCUUGCCUUAACAGGAAGCCAGUGUAGGGAGGCUAGCACUGGAGUAAUAUGAUCACAUUUUUUGGUUCUAGUCAGGAUUCUAGCAGCCGUAUUUAGCACUAACUGAAGUUUAUUUAGAGCUUUAUAUGGGUAGCCGGAAAGUAGAGCAUUGCAGCAGUCUAACCUAGAAGUAACAAAAGCAUGUAUUAAUUUUUCUGCAUCAUUUUUGGACAGAACGUUUCUGAUUUUUGCAAUGUUAUGUAGACGGAAAAAAGCUGUCCUUGAAACAGACUUGAUAUGAUCGUCAAAAGAGAGAUCAGGGUCCAGAGUAACGCCGAGGUGCUUCAAAGUUUUAUUUGAGACGACUGUACAACCAUCAAGAUUAAUUGUCAGAUUCAACAGAAGAUCUCUUUGUUUCUUGGGACCUAGAACAAGCAUCUCUGUUUUGUCCGAGUUUAAAAGUAGAACGUUUGCAGCCAUCCACUUCCUUAUGUCUGAAACACAGGCUUCUAGCGAGGGCAAUUUUUGGGCUUCACCAUGUUUCAUUGAAAUGUACAGCUGUGUGUCAUCCGCAUAGCAGUGAAAGUUAACAUUAUGUUUUCGAAUGACAUCCCCAAGAGGUAAAAUAUAUAGUGAAAACAAUAGUGGUCCUAAAAUGGAACCUUGUGGAACACCGAUAUUUACAGUUGAUUUGUCAGAGGGCAAACCAUUCACAGAGGCAAACUGAUAUCUUUCUGACAGAUAAGAUCUAAAGCAGGCCAGAACUUGUCCGUGUAGACCAAUUUGGGUUUCCAACCUCUCCAAAAGAAUGUGGUGAUUGAUGGUAUCAAAAGCAGCACUAAGGUCUAGGACCACGAGGACAGAUGCAGAGCCUCGUUCUGAUGCCAUUAAAAGGUAACCACCUUCACAAGUCCAGUCUCAGUGCUAUGAUGGCGUCUAAAACCAGACUGAAGCAUUUCGUAUACAUUGUUUGUCUUCAGGAAGGCAGUGAGUUGCUGUGCAACAGCUUUUUCAAAACAUUUUGAGAGGAAUGGAAGAUUCGAUAUAGGUCGAUAAUUUUUUAUAUUUUCUGGGUCAAGGUUUGGCUUUUUCAAGAGAGGCUUUAUUACUGCGACUUUUAGUGAGUUUGGUACACAUCCGGUGGAUAGAGAGACGUUUAUUAUAAGCACAGGAAGCAGCUCUUUCGGUAGUUUAGUUGGACCACAGUUCAGUAAAUAGCUUGAAGGUUUAGAGGCCAUGAUUAUUUUCAUCAUUGUCCCUCCUGAUCCUAGGUCCUGGCAGAGUUGUGCAGACUCUGGUCAACUGAGCUUUGAAGGAAUAUACAGAUUUAAAGAGGAGUACGUCAUUUGUUUUCUAAUGAUCAUGAUCUUUUCUUCAAAGAAGUUCAUUAAUUUAUUACUGCUCAAGUGAAAGCCAUCCUCACUUGGGGAAUGCUUCUUUUUAGUUAGCUUUGCGACAGUAUCAAAAAUACAUUUUGUUAUUUGUUAUUUUCCUCAAUUAAGUUGGAAAAAUAGGAUGAUCGAGCAGCAGUAAGGGCUCUUCGGUACUGCACGGUACUGUCUUUCCAAGCUAGUCGGAAGACUUCCAGUUUGGUGUGACGCCAUUUCCGUCCAAAUUUUCUGGAAGCUUGCUUCAGAACAUUUUCAGAGUAUUUUCUGUAUACCAGGGAGCUAGUUUCUUAUGACAAAUGUUUUUAGUUUUUAGGGGUGCAACUGCAUCUAGGGUAUUGCGCAAGGUUCAAUUAAGUUCCUCAGUUAGGUGGUUAACUGAUUUUUGUCCUCUCCAGAACUUCUUGGGGUUAGACCCACAGAGAGAGUAGUGCUCCUUAAUUAAGGUAACUAACUUUGACCUUCCGGAUAGCCUGAGUGCACUUAUUUCUCAUUUGCCUGAACGAGAGCCAGUUAGCCUGAGUAUGCGUGUGCCGAGCUUUUCGCCAAAUGCAAUUCUUGAGGUGGAGUAACUCUGCAAGAUCACUGUCAAACCAGAGGCUGAACCUGUUUAUAAUUCUCAUCAUCUUCAUGGAGGCAUGUUUGUUAACAAUACCACUGAAAAUAUCAAAAAAGAAGGUCCAAGAAUCUUCGACGGGAUCAAGCUGAUUCUAUACAAUUUCUAUAGAAGGGAUCAUCAACUAGAUUCAGCCACGGGCUGAUUUUUCCUUGAGUGGAUGGUCAGGGGGCCAGAAUAUAAUUACAAAUUAUUUGUCUAUAUCAUAUUUGACUAAAAUGUAAUAAUUUCAAACCUUGCUUAUAUUUGUAUAUGACCACAUAUUCAGUGAGCUCCAGAAGUGUUGGGACACAUUUUAUUAUUGUUUUGGUUUUGUACUCCAGCACUUUGGUUUUGAAAUGAUACAUUGCAGACUGUCACCUUUAAUUAGAGGGUAUUUUCAUCCUUAUCGGGUGAACGGUUUCGAGAUUACAGCACUUUUUGUACACAUUCUCCUCAUUUUAGGGGACCAAAUGUAUUGGGACAAAUUCCCUUAUGUGCAUUAAAGUAGAAACACAGAAGUAUUUGAUCCCAUAUUCAUAGCACUCAAUGACUACAUCAAGUUUAUGACUCUACAAACUUGUUGGAUUAAUUUUCUGUUUGUGUACGUUCUGUUUCAAAUUAUGUUGUGCCCAUUUAGAAAUCAAUGGUAAAUCACAUGUUGUGUCAUUUUGGUGUCACUUUUAUUAUAAAUAAAAAUUGAAUAUAUUUCUAAACACUUCUACAUUCAUGUUGAUGAUACCAUGAUUAGGGAAUGACUUGUGAUGACUCAUACCACCCCAAAAAAUUCUAACCUCCCCUGUUAUUGUAACGAUGAGAGGUUAGCAUGUCUUGAGGGUAUGAUAUAACAUGCUAACCCCUCCCUGUUAUUGUAACGAUGAGAGGUUAGCAUGUCUUGGGGGUAUGAUAUAACAUGCUAACCCCUCCCUGUUAUUGUAACGAUGAGAGGUUAGCAUGUCUUGAGGGUAUGAUAUAACAUGCUAACCCCUCCCUGUUAUUGUAACGAUGAGAGGUUAGCAUGUCUUGAGGGUAUGAUAUAACAUGCUAACCCCUCCCUGUUAUUGUAACGAUGAGAGGUUAGCAUGUCUUGAGAGUAUGAUAUAACAUGCUAACCCCUCCCUGGUAUUGUAACGAUGAGAGGUUAGCAUGUCUUGAGGGUAUGAUAUAACAUGCUAACCCCUCCCUGGUAUUGUAACGAUGAGAGGUUAGCAUGUCUUGAGGGUAUGAUAUAACAUGCUAACCCCUCCCUGUUAUUGUAACGAUGAGAGGUUAGCAUGUCUUGAGGGUAUGAUAUAACAUGCUAACCCCUCCCUGUUAUUGUAACGAUGAGAGGUUAGCAUGUCUUGAGGGUAUGAUAUAACAUGCUAACCGCUCCCUGUUAUUGUAAUGAUGAGAGGUUAGCAUGUCUUGAGGGUAUGAUAUUUGUACGUUUUGUAACCUUCUCACUCAUAAUUAUUCACGAUGUGUACAGAGCCAAAACAACAACAAAUAUGCCACUGUCCCGAUACUUUUAAAGCUCCCUAUAUCUCUCUGUUACGCGCGUGGAAAUUCUUUUGAACACAUCUCAUAACUUAAAAUCACUUGGAGCUGAUUUGCUGGUGUUUUUAAAGAUUUUGUGUAAAUGAGAUAUUUCUGUAUUUCAUUUUCAAUAAAUUUAGCAAAGAUUUCUAAAAACAUGUUUUCACGUUGUCAUUACGGGGUAUUGUGUGUAGUAUUGUGAGUAAAAAACAUACUGUAUAUUUAAUCUAUUUUUGAAUUAAGGGGCUUGAAAUCUUUCUGAGGACACUGUAUCUAUCUCCAUAACUCGAGCAAAGAUGAAUGGGUGGCAGGAAAGCUGUCUGAUGGGCACAAAAUAUGCAGGAAAGAUGCAGAAAAUAUGCAGGAAAGAUGCAGAAAAUAUGCAGGAAAGAUGCAGAAAAUAUGCAGGAAAGAUGCAGAAAAUAUGCAGGAAAGAUGCAGAAAAUAUGCAGGAAAGAUGCAGAAAAUAUGCAGGAAAGAUGCAGGAAAGAUGCAGAAAAUAUGCAGGAAAAGGUGUGUCAAAUAUGCGGGAUGAGGUUUCUGUUAGUCUUUCAGGCACAGUUUGCUCUUCAUCCUCCUCAGCUGCUGCUGCUGGGCCAUCAGACAGGGGACAGUAUAUGUACAUGAACUGGAGGU